CGGCGGACGGGUGAGUAACACGUGGGCAACCUGCCUGUAAGACUGGGAUAACUCCGGGAAACCGGGGCUAAUACCGGAUAAUUCUUUCCCUCACAUGAGGGAAAGCUGAAAGAUGGUUUCGGCUAUCACUUACAGAUGGGCCCGCGGCGCAUUAGCUAGUUGGUGAGGUAACGGCUCACCAAGGCAACGAUGCGUAGCCGACCUGAGAGGGUGAUCGGCCACACUGGGACUGAGACACGGCCCAGACUCCUACGGGAGGCAGCAGUAGGGAAUCUUCCGCAAUGGACGAAAGUCUGACGGAGCAACGCCGCGUGAGUGAUGAAGGUUUUCGGAUCGUAAAACUCUGUUGUUAGGGAAGAACAAGUACCGGAGUAACUGCCGGUACCUUGACGGUACCUAACCAGAAAGCCACGGCUAACUACGUGCCAGCAGCCGCGGUAAUACGUAGGUGGCAAGCGUUGUCCGGAAUUAUUGGGCGUAAAGCGCGCGCAGGCGGUUCCUUAAGUCUGAUGUGAAAGCCCCCGGCUCAACCGGGGAGGGUCAUUGGAAACUGGGGAACUUGAGUGCAGAAGAGAAGAGUGGAAUUCCACGUGUAGCGGUGAAAUGCGUAGAGAUGUGGAGGAACACCAGUGGCGAAGGCGACUCUUUGGUCUGUAACUGACGCUGAGGCGCGAAAGCGUGGGGAGCAAACAGGAUUAGAUACCUGGUAGUCCACGCCGUAAACGAUGAGUGCUAAGUGUUAG
rnacentral:rRNA from 1 species